AUUCCAUCCUCGAUAUAUAUUUUUGUAUUUUUUUU
rnacentral:sRNA from 1 species